AGUGAACGCUGGCGGUAGGCCUAACACAUGCAAGUCGAACGGCAGCACAGUAAGAGCUUGCUCUUACGGGUGGCGAGUGGCGGACGGGUGAGGAAUACAUCGGAAUCUACUUUUUCGUGGGGGAUAACGUAGGGAAACUUACGCUAAUACCGCAUACGACCUACGGGUGAAAGCAGGGGAUCUUCGGACCUUGCGCGAUUGAAUGAGCCGAUGUCGGAUUAGCUAGUUGGCGGGGUAAAGGCCCACCAAGGCGACGAUCCGUAGCUGGUCUGAGAGGAUGAUCAGCCACACUGGAACUGAGACACGGUCCAGACUCCUAUGGGAGGCAGCAGUGGGGAAUAUUGGACAAUGGGCGCAAUCCUGAUCCAGCCAUACCGCGUGGGUGAAGAAGGCCUUCGGGUUGUAAAGCCCUUUUGUUGGGAAAGAAAAGCAGCAGGUUAAUACCCCGCUGUUCUGACGGUACCCAAAGAAUAAGCACCGGCUAACUUCGUG
rnacentral:rRNA from 1 species